rnacentral:piRNA from 1 species
AUUUGUUUCCUUCCCCACCACAGUAAA